UACGGAGGGUGCAAGCGUUAAUCGGAAUUACUGGGCGUAAAGCGUGCGCAGGCGGUUGUGCAAGACAGAUGUGAAAUCCCCGGGCUUAACCUGGGAACUGCAUUUGUGACUGCAUCGCUGGAGUGCGGCAGAGGGGGAUGGAAUUCCGCGUGUAGCAGUGAAAUGCGUAGAUAUGCGGAGGAACACCGAUGGCGAAGGCAAUCCCCUGGGCCUGCACUGACGCUCAUGCACGAAAGCGUGGGGAGCAAACAGG
rnacentral:rRNA from 1 species